rnacentral:rRNA from 1 species
GAUGCACGCUAGCUACAGGCUUAACACAUGCAAGUCGAGGGGAAACGACAUCGAAAGCUUGCUUUUGAUGGGCGUCGACCGGCGCACGGGUGAGUAACGCGUAUCCAACCUGCCCAUCACUUGGGAAUAACCUUGCGAAAGUAAGACUAAUACCCAAUGAUAUCCCACGAAGGCAUCGGAAUGGGAUUAAAGAUUUAUCGGUGAUGGAUGGGGAUGCGUCUGAUUAGCUUGUUGGCGGGGUAACGGCCCACCAAGGCAACGAUCAGUAGGGGUUCUGAGAGGAAGGUCCCCCACAUUGGAACUGAGACACGGUCCAAACUCCUACGGGAGGCAGCAGUGAGGAAUAUUGGUCAAUGGGCGAGAGCCUGAACCAGCCAAGUAGCGUGCAGGAAGACGGCCCUAUGGGUGGUAAACUGCUUUUAUAAGGGAAUAAAGUGGGUCACGUGUGACUUUUUGCAUGUACCUUAUGAAUAAGGACCGGCUAAUUCCGUG